AGCGAACGCUGGCGGCAGGCCUAACACAUGCAAGUCGAACGAACCUUUCGUGGUUAGUUGCUGACGGGUGAGUAACACGUGGGACCGUGCCUUUAGGCUCGGAAUAACUCAUUGUAACUUGUGCUAAUACCGAAUGUGCCCCUCUGGGGCAAGAUUCAUCGCCUUUAUAGCGGCCCGCGUUCUAUUAACUUGUUGGUUUAGGUAAUGGCUCAGCAAGGCGACGAUCAGUAGCUGGUCUGAGAGGAUGAUCAGCAACAUUGGGAGUGAGACACGGCCCAAACUCCUACGGGAGGCAGCAGUGGGGAAUCAGGCGCAAUGGGCGAAAGCCUGACGCAGCCAUGCCGCGUGAAUGAUGAAGGGGUUAGGAUUGUAAAAUGCUUUCACCGGGGACGAUAAGGACGGUACCCGGAGAAGAAGCCCCGGCUAACUCCGU
rnacentral:rRNA from 1 species